AGACUUUGAUCCUGGCUCAAAAUGAGCGCUGGCGGCGUGCUUAACACAUGCAAGUCGUGCGAGAAAGUGGCUUCGGCCACAAGUAGAGCGGCGCACGGGUGAGUAACACGUGGGUAAUCUACCUGGGAGUGGGGGAUAACCUGGGGAAACUCGGGCUAAUACCGCAUACGUUUUCGUGAUUGCGGUCGUGAAAGGAAAGUUGGCCUCUACAUGUAAGCUGASGYUCCCAGAAUGAGCNCCGCGGCCCGAUUAGCUUUGUUGGUGAGGUAACGGSUCACCAAGGCGACGAUCGGUAGCCGGCCUGAGAGGGURAMCGGCCMCACUGGAAYURAGACACGGUCCAGACUYCNUACGGGAGGCAGCAGUGGGGAAUAUUGCGCAAUGGGCGAAAGCCUGACGCAGCAACGCCGCGUGGAGGACGAAGGCCUUCGGGUCGUAAACUCCUGUCAGGUGGGAAGAAAGGGCACGGAAAAAUAUACCCGUGUCUGUGACUGUACCACUAGAGGAAGCCCCGGCUAACUCCGUGCCARCAASCCGCGGUAAUACCKGARGGGGCCANSCGUUAUUCGGAAUUAUUGGGCGUAAAGGGCAUGUAGGCGGCCCGGUAAGUUGAAGGUGAAAUCCCUCGGCUCAACUGAGGAACUGCCUUCAAAACUGCCAGGCUCGAGGCCGGGAGAGGGUAGCGGAAUUCCCAGUGUAGCGGUGAAAUGCGUAGAUAUUGGGAGGAACACCAGUGGCGAAGGCGGCUACCUGGACCGGUUCUGACGCUGAGGUGCGAAAGCGUGGGGASCAAACAGGAUUAGAUACCYUGGUAGUCCACGCGUGUAAACGAUGGGCACUCGGUGYUGCGGGUAUCGGACCCCUGCGGUGCCUUAGCUAACGCGUUAAGURCCCCGCCUKGGGARGUNCGGUUCGCAAGGNNAANCUCAAAGGAAUUGACGGGGGCCCGCACAAGCGGUGGAGCAUGUGGUUUAAUUCGAUGCAACGCGCAGAACCUUACCUGGGCUUGAACUGUAGUGGCCAAUCCUAGAAAUAGGAUCUUCUCUUCGGAGACUGCUACGGAGGUGCUGCAUGGCUGUCGUCAGCUCGUGUCGUGAGAUGUUGGGUUAAGUCCCGCAACGAGCGCAACCCCUAUCCUUAGUUGCUAACGGGUGAGGCCGAGAACUCUAAGGAGACUGCCCUGGAAAUCGGGGAGGAAGGUGGGGAUGACGUCAAGUCCUCAUGGCCUUUAUGUCCAGGGCUACACACGUGCUACAAUGGAUGGUACAAAGGGUCGCGAAACCGCGAGGUCGAGCUAAUCCCAAAAAGCCAUCCUCAGUUCGGAUUGCAGUCUGCAACUCGACUGCAUGAAGCUGGAAUCGCUAGUAAUCCCGGAUCAGCAUGCCGGGGUGAAUACGUUCCCGGGCCUUGUACACACCGCCCGUCACAUCACGAAAGUUGGCUGUACCGGAAGUCGGUGGGCUAACCCGCAAGGGAGGCAGCUGCCCAGGUAGUGNAAUGGGUUUAAA
rnacentral:rRNA from 1 species